GUACAUAGAAGUGAUAUGGCUCUUGAGUUUUCCACCAGGACGGGUAAAUUCAUCAUCUACUUCGUAGCUAACAUUCGUCAUACGUUGAAAGUUAAGCAUUUCUUUUAGAAUUUGGCGUGGCAUAUUAGUUGGGUUCAAAAGCUCUUCGUUUAUCAUCUUAUUAGCGUUUGCAAUAAUUUGAUGAAGCUUUUCAAAUGCUUCUUUUUCGGUAACUCCAUAUUGCUUCUUGUAACAGUUGAUCGAGUUCGUGACAUAUCCUCUGCUCAUGUCAUCCUAAUGAAUGUCACACAUAUAAGUUUGAUUAUUAAUAAACAACAUAUGAAUUACUAGAAUAAAAAUAACUUUCCACCAUGUGUACCUCGUAACCAUGAAUAUCAUUCAGCACUCUUGUUACUGUAAACAUUGCUCUCACAAGUUUGUCUCUAGAUUUCAACCACUCAUAAGCUUCUUUCUUGCAGAUAUCUUUCAUAGCCAUCAAAAUACCUGCUAUGGUGAAUUCCACAGCGACUUCGACUCCAGCGACGUCUAGAUACUCCUCAAAACUAGGGACGUGAUACGCUUCUGCCCAUGUAGCGAGCUGAAGAUUGGCUCUCACGUAUCCCUUGCACUGCAAUUCUCACAAUGUAAACAUUGCACUAUUAAGUUCUUCAGAAAAUCAUUUGAAAAUGGUUAUUCGUAAACACAUGCAUUAUACUAACAGAGAAAAUUAAUUUACUGUAUGAUUACCUCAUCAAUUGUAGCUUUUAAGCUGUAAGAUCCUCCUAAUUCUGAUGCCACUUCUCUUUCAAACUCUUGGACAGUAUCGAAUAUAUAUUUAACCACAAAUUUCAAAUAAUCAGGUUGGCCAUCCAUGGUAUCAUCGAGAUCCCACCUAAAUGCAUUAUCAAUUUUUUUUCUUUUUAGAUGUGGACCAGAUUAAGAACUCAUUACAAAAAUAAUAAUUUAACAUCAUUUUUAUUUUAAAAAAUUCCAAUGUCCUUUUUGUAACGACGUUAAAACUGAAAUUUAAGGUUUCUUGUUAGGGCUAAAAAUUUUGGCAUCGAUUUUUCAACGACUCAGAAAUUGAAAUUUAACGUCACUUAUUUCUUAUUAUAGUGCCAUGGAGCUAUAACUAAUAUUUUUGCAUGGCGUUUAAUAGUACUAGGAUCUAACCUGCGUUUUGCACAGUUUUAUUUAUUAUUAUAUUUUUUUAAUGUUCCGCAGCCCGUAACCACUCUUAUGAGCUUUCCGCAACCCGUAGUCACCCCUGACCCGGAGCCAGUCGACGCUAAUACCUUUAAGUGGCGUAAAGUACUCCGUGGCCACGUAAGGUUUAGGGACGAAUCGAACCCAAGGAUGCGCAGCCAAACAGCUUGACGCUUAACUCUAGCGGGUACUACUAGCCCACCACUACGUGAUUACAGUUUUAUUUUAUUUUGAUUGAAAACUUAAAAACUUGUAUGAAAAGGUGUUGUAAGUGUUUAGAG
rnacentral:lncRNA from 1 species